UACGAAGGGGGCUAGCGUUGUUCGGAAUUACUGGGCGUAAAGGGCGCGUAGGCGGUGUGUCAAGUCAGGCGUGAAAGCCCCGGGCUCAACCUGGGAACCGCGCUUGAGACUGGCACGCUCGAGUUCGGGAGAGGAUGGUGGAAUUCCCAGUGUAGAGGUGAAAUUCGUAGAUAUUUGGGAAGAACACCGAUGGCGAAGGCAGCCAUCUGGACCGACACUGACGCUGAGGCGCGAAAGCGUGGGGAGCAAACAGG
rnacentral:rRNA from 1 species